GCUAGUAAUCGCAGAUCAGCAUGCUGCGGUGAAUACGUUCCCGGGCCUUGUACACACCGCCCGUCACACCAUGGGAGUCGGUAACACCCAAAGUUGGUAGCCUAACCGCAAGGAGGGCGCCGCCUAAGGUGGGAUUGAUGACUGGGGUGAAGUCGUAACAAGGUACC
rnacentral:rRNA from 1 species